UUUUACUGUUAGUUCGCUUAUGCACUAAAAUACUUUUAAUACCCAAAUCAGAUCCUAAUAGAUUGUUUUUCUUGUUGUCUGAAAGGAUCUGUAAUCACAACUUGUGCUUCAGAUUUAUUCUAACUGGGAUGUGAUGCUGCAAGUAGAUCAAGGCUUUGGUUUAAAGCAAAAAUCCAGUUUUUUUUCUGACUGCACCAUCUAGAGGCAGAACAAUGUAUUGCACAUUUAAGCCUUUCUCCUGACAUUCAUGAAUGUGCACCUCUAGCUGGCUGCGUGUAUGUGUGUGUAUUAGGGCUGCCAUGAUCAGUCGACGUCGACAAACAAAAUGGCUGACUAUUAAUUUAAUAGUCGACGUGUCGUUUAUUUUAUAAACUUUUUUUUUUUCGCCUGCUGUGGCACGUUCUGCGGUUGCUUCCUGCCCCUCUGCUCAACGCACAUGUAGUAGUCAACAUCCGGGUCAGUUGCCGCGUUCAGGUCCGAGGCUCAUGCGCAGUAGUGGUCAUCCAGCUCAGCCCUGGUGACCAGAGAAGGAAAACAUGGCGAGUCGGCGACGUAGCUCAAAAGUUUGGGAGCAUUAUACAAAGACAAAACUCUGCAAAGUGAAACUCUCCUUUCACGGGAGUCCACUGGCGAUGUACGAGCACCUUAAAAGGAAGUACGUUAUGGCGGAGAUCAAAGAGUUGCCUCGGUAAGUUUACCUCUAGUUAGUUGUUGAUAUCAACAGAGCUACUUGUAUUCAUAGGUGUGGCAACACCAGCAGUGGUGGUAGUUUAAUUACCUCUAGAACAUGUUUGUCACGUAUUUUUGCUUUAAUUACAAACGCUAAUGAUUUAUUUCGUCUGUUAAUAAAAGUGCUCCUCAUCAAUGGACGAGUUUGUUACGUGCACACCUCAGCAAGCUAGCGUCCUGACCGAGGCCAUUGUGAGCAUGUGGGCCACGUCCUGUCCAUGGUCGGUAUCAAGGUUUCAGCAAGAUCAAGCAGCUCAACCCAGGUUACCACGACAACCACCUACCAGGCUGAUCCCAUUUCACCACCGUGAUGGAAAAGAAAUAUGAAACAAGACCCUCAGAGCUGUCGAUGAUCCCUGACUGCCGACGUGUGGACCAGCCGUGCUACAGAGGCGUACCUUUGGCUGUCCUGCCAUUUCCUGAGUUAAGAUUGGAAGAUUCAACCUCGCCACCAUGCCUCUUGUGAACACAAGUCAUUUUUAUGUAUAAUUUUUGGUUUUAGGUGCCUACCUCCGUUUGACUGUAACAUUUGUAUUAACAGGUUACAAAGUUAAUAAAAGUUGUUUGAUAAGCUUUA